rnacentral:misc_RNA from 1 species
GUUAAUGCCUCAUCAACUCCGUCAGUAUCUGUGAUGUCAAGAAACCCUUUGAUAAGACAAUUGAAAACAACAAGAUUAGGAUGCACUCCGAGCUCCUUCAUUCUGCAAACAAACCUCAAGGCCUCUGUCAUAUUACCUUCUUUGCAAUAGCCAUUAACAAUGAUACCGCAAGUACGUUCAUUGGGUGCAACUCUCUUGUUCUCCAUUUCCAAGAGCAUUUCUUCAGCCCUACUUGUCUCCCCUUUCUGAGCAUAUGCCCUCGCUAGAAUAUUGUAUGUGACAACGUCAGGUUUCAAUCCAGAUGCCAACAUCUUGUACACCACAUUCCAUGCUUCCUUUAUGUUUUUCUUGUUGCACCAGGCUAUAACUAGAAUAUUGUAUGUUCUAACAUUUGGUUUCACACUUCCAUCCAUUGACAUUAAAUCUAGCAAUCUCAAAGCUUCUUCAGGCUUACCAGCAUUCCCAUAGCCCUUAAUGAGGGUAUUAAAUGUGCUAGUUGUGAGCUUACAUCCACUGUCCCUCAUUUUCUGAAAGAUUUUCAUGGCUUCUUUCACGUUUCCGGAUUCAGAAAAGGCAUUAAUCAUGGCAUUGAAGAGUAUGGAAUCAGGCUUCAUGCCAUUUUCUUCCACUUGAGAGAUGAGUAAAAGAAUGGACUUAAAAUGUUUCUGCUGAGUCAAGGCGGCUACAAGAGCUGUGUAAGUUAUAAGAGUUGGCCUAUGCCCGUCUUUCAUUAAACUGUUGAAAAUUAAAUGGGCCUCAUGAGGCUUUCUUCUCUCAAUCAAAAUGUUCAUCAGCUUUGUUCUUGAACGAACUAUUCGGCAACUGUUAUUGCCCAAGCAGACAGGGCAGCCAGAUUGAACUAGUGAAUCUACAGAGGAUGAAAUUAACUGAAACUGGUCCUCCUUUGGCAAAUGUGAUUCCUGUAAAGUUCAUAUUAAUCAGAAAGUAGUUUUCUUUAGGUAGACAAUGUAAUUGUCUUAUCCAUAAUAACAAAUUCUUCCCUAUAAUUUAAAAGAAAAGGCAUAUAUGGCCAGGCUAACAAUACAUUUUUCAUCCUGAUUCAAACCAUAGAAGGGGCUUUAAACUUAUACUGUUUAGCUUUAAUUUCUAGUAAAUAUAGUAUUUCAUUCAUGCACAGAAGGUAUCAAAAACAGAACAAACUACCAAUUAAAACUAAAAAAAGGGUUUGCAUUUAAUAUAAGAUAUGAAGAGGUUAGAUAUAAAACCAAUGAAUGAUAUAAAACCAAUGAAUGAUACAAAACAAAAUGCACAACACAAACUAGAGCACAAACAAGGUUUUUAAAAGUUUGCAAUAAUAAUAACAUUUUGAACUGUACAAAUAACCCCAAAAUUGAAGUGAAUCCAGUUCAAAAUUAUUCAGCAAAGAUUAAUAGAUUACAAGUCCCAACAGAAGCAAUUAAAGAACAAAUCCAAAAUUAUUAACCUAAACAAGUAAAAGAUCAAGAAAGUGUUAUUGUACCAAAACUGCUGAUGCCUUAACCAGCUUUCUGUUUGUGCUUGCUUCAUCUUGAUGCUUGCCCAUGAUUGGAAUAUGAACCCUCUAUGACCCAAAUUCUCCUAAUAUAUUUUCUUGCUUACCACUCUCUUAGUAAACCACCUUCUUGCCCUAACAUUAGAUUCAAAUUAAAAGCUACCACACAAUACACAGAUGCCCAAAGAAUUUAUCUCUUUCUGGAUUGAGCCUACCAACAAUUUUAAGAGAAGAAAAUCAACAUAAACAACAAGAAAAUUGCAAGAAGAAAUACACAUAUAUUCAAACCAAGGAAGAAAUGCAAGCAAUGUCUGUUGCAUAAAAUUAAAAACAGGAGAAAUCGAAGGACUUGAAGAAGUUACUUGAGUACUACCUCUCCAGAAGCGGUUUGCCUUUGCAUGGUUGGUCUGAUAGUUGUACAUGCAGCUCCAGAAUCAGAAGAAAUCGAAGUUGGUGUCGUUUAGUGGGUUAU